CGUUCCCCCUUCUCCAUCCCUCAGAACUAAGCUGCAAGAAUGCUAUGGUGAUCAGGACUUCCUAGCCAAGCUCCAUUGUGUGAGACAAGCUUUCCAGGUUCUGUUGCUGGAUGAAACUCACCGGACGUUCUUCAUGGAGACCGGCAAGCAGAUGAUCACAGGACUCAUGACCAAGGCAAACAAGAGUCCCAAAGCCUUCCUGGAAGCAUAUGAGGACAUGCUUCUCUACACCCAGAGACUCUACACCCUCUAUCUUGGCUGGUCAGCAAGAUAGAGCUAGAGGGAUGAGGGGUGGUGGUUAUGAACUUCUUUGACAUUGUGCUGGACUUCAUCCUACUGGAUGCCUUCGAGGACCUGGAGAGCCCACCCUCGUCCAUGGUGGCCAUGCUGAGGAACCGAUGGCUCUCCGACAGCUUUAAGGAGAUAGCCCUGGCUACUGCGUGCUGGUCUGUUCUGAAGGACAAGAGACGUCUGCUGAUGGUUCCAGAUGGCUUCAUCUCCCACUUCUACGCCAUAUCAGAAUAAGUGAGCCCUGUGAUAUUGGUAUGUGCAGCUCAGGGUUUCCAAUAGGAAAAUGUGGUUCCGGACAUUUGACCGGCAAUAUUUUGAUUUACCUACAGUAUAUGGAUUGGGUGCUCAGAAUGACAGAAAUCACAUCACAUUUAGAUUAGGGUAAUUCAUCUUAACAAUAAAUGCAACUCGAGGAAGCAACAGCAUGCGUCCUUCUUACCGCUUUCCGAUGCGCACUUUGAAGAUGUUAGAAUAAAUGUCCACAUUUUACUUUCCUCAGCCAACAGGACGAGUAGCAAACAGCAAACUAGCUUAAAAUUACUACCAUAGAAAGAAAAGUUAACCUAGAAAUAGCCUAUUCCAAACACUCUGGGACAGUUGUUGGACGAUAGAUAAAGUUCAUACAACCAGUACAUCAAAAUUACUUUAAAAAGCAUUGAGGAUGAUGCAACAGAUAAGAACGUUUAGAUUAAAAUGUUGAUAAAUUAUUAUUUCUUCACAUUAUAACUGCAUCGCAAUGUGCCCACAGCAGUAGGCCUAGGCUACGCAUAAAUGUUUGUUCCAUAAUGCAAUUAGCCUAAAAACACUGUCAAAAGCGCACUGUAUAUGUGAGGGGUUUCAUGUGACAGAGAUGAAAAUAUAUGUUUGAAAUUUUGAAAGAAGGGAGAUCUAAAGAUGCAACAAUUAGCAUGGGUUGCUAAUAUGACUAGGAUUGUGCCUUUGGCUAUACUGGACAAUGAAAGAAAGUUGAUUUGAAAACCAAUAGAACCUAAGAGAAUUAGGCUACUUGUUUCAAUGGCAUAAGGAAAGGGUGAAAUUGUGGUGUGAAUGUUGGGGGGAUGUUAGACUGGGCACCUCCCCCUGAUUUUUAUUUUUACAUUUUAAAACUAAUUUCUUGCAAUUCUACACAGUUUGACUUGACUUACUAUGCCUUUCUUGAGGAGUAUUUUGAAAACGCAGUGUAAGUGGGUGA